GACGAACGCUGGCGGCAUGCCUAACACAUGCAAGUCGAACGGAGUUUUCUUAUUGGAUUCCUUCGGGAUGAAGAUAUUAAAACUUAGUGGCGGACGGGUGAGUAACGCGUGGGUAACCUGCCCUUUUGUGGGGAACAACUUCGAGAAAUUGAAGCUAAUACCGCAUACUCUUCUUUUAUCGCAUGAUGAGAGAAGGAAAGAUGGCCUCUGAACAUGCUAUCGCAAAAGGAUGGACCCGCGUCUGAUUAGCUAGUUGGAAGGGUAACGGCCUACCAAGGCGACGAUCAGUAGCCGGCCUGAGAGGGUGAACGGCCACAUUGGGACUGAGACACGGCCCAAACUCCUACGGGAGGCAGCAGUGGGGAAUCUUCCGCAAUGGGCGAAGGCCUGACGGAGCAAUGCCGCGUGAGUGAAGAAGGCCUUCGGGUUGUAAAACUCUGUCCUUAUUGAAGAGAGGUAGUAGUGUGAAUAAUGCUGCUAUAGGACGGUAAAUAAGGAGGAAGCCCCGGCUAACUACGUGCCAGCAGCCGCCGUAAUAC
rnacentral:rRNA from 1 species